rnacentral:lncRNA from 1 species
GCUUUGGGUACAUGACACAGCAGCUGAUGAGCUUGGCAGGAGGUGCGGUGGUGUUGGCCUUGGAGGGCGGCCAUGACCUCACAGCCAUCUGUGAUGCCUCUGAGGCCUGUGUGGCAGCUCUUCUGGGCAACAAGGUGGAUCCCCUUUCACAAGAAAGCUGGAAACAGAAACCCAACCUCAAUGCCAUCCGCUCUCUGGAAGCCGUGGUCAGGGUGCACAGUGAGUUUUUCCCUGGGACACUUGCUGGGUCCAAACUUGGGAGAGCCUCGAGGGCCUACCAUCCUGGGGCAAGGGUCUCAGAGAUUCUCGUGCCAGCGAGGUCAGAUGCACACUGACAGUGUCGAACAGGAUUCCUAGGUACCACCACCUCAGGAAUAAUGGGGGGCAUAUCCCCAUGACUGAAUAACUUAGCCCUCCGGCUGGACGCACCAUGAACAAAACAGCAGCCUCCUGUGGCAAGGACUGGUCUCUCAUCUCUGGCUAUAGUCUUGGAUCAGGGGGGCUGACAGCAGCCCUCAGGCCUUGCUCGCCAAAAAAGGCUCCGUUUAACCUCUUCAGUGCUGGUCACAGGGACUGGAGAACUGUGUGAAGGACCUACCUGGGUCUCAGACUAUAACCACUUGGAAGAUAUCCGGGGCUUGGUUGGGGAGCCAGACAGAGAACCGCAGAUAGAGCUGACUGUGGAACCUCUUGUGGGCCAGGUUCUGCCCUGAGCUGGUCUAUGUUUCUCAUUGUGUCAA